AGUUCCGUGGUGAAACGGUUAUCACGUAUCCUUGACAUGGAUGAGUCGGCAGUUCAACUCUGCCCGGGACUACCA
rnacentral:tRNA from 1 species